UACGUAGGUGGCAAGCGUUGUCCGGAUUUAUUGGGUUUAAAGGGUGCGUAGGCGGUCUAUUAAGUCAGUGGUGAAAUAUCGCAGCUUAACUGUGAGGGUGCCAUUGAUACUGAUGGACUUGAGUGAAGUCGAGGUAGGCGGAAUUGACGGUGUAGCGGUGAAAUGCUUAGAUAUCGUCAAGAACACCAAUAGUGAAGACAGCUUACUAGGCUUAUACUGACGCUGAGGCACGAAAAGUGUGGGGGAUCAAACAGG
rnacentral:rRNA from 1 species